rnacentral:rRNA from 1 species
GUUGAACGCUGGCGGCGUGCCUAAUACAUGCAAGUCGAGCGAACAGACGAGGAGCUUGCUCCUCUGACGUUAGCGGCGGACGGGUGAGUAACACGUGGAUAACCUACCUAUAAGACUGGGAUAACUUCGGGAAACCGGAGCUAAUACCGGAUAAUAUAUUGAACCGCAUGGUUCAAUAGUGAAAGACGGUUUUGCUGUCACUUAUAGAUGGAUCCGCGCCGCAUUAGCUAGUUGGUAAGGUAACGGCUUACCAAGGCGACGAUGCGUAGCCGACCUGAGAGGAUGAUCGGCCACACUGGAACUGAGACACGGUCCAGACUCCUACGGGAGGCAGCAGUAGGGAAUCUUCCGCAAUGGGCGAAAGCCUGACGGAGCAACGCCGCGUGAGUGAUGAAGGUCUUCGGAUCGUAAAACUCUGUUAGUAGGGAAGAACAAAUGUGUAAGUAACUAUGCACGUCUUGACGGUACCUAAUCAGAAAGCCACGGCUAACUACGUG